rnacentral:rRNA from 1 species
AGUGAACGCUGGCGGUAGGCCUAACACAUGCAAGUCGAACGGCAGCACAGUAAGAGCUUGCUCUUACGGGUGGCGAGUGGCGGACGGGUGAGGAAUACAUCGGAAUCUACUUUUUCGUGGGGGAUAACGUAGGGAAACUUACGCUAAUACCGCAUACGACCUACGGGUGAAAGCAUGGGAUCUUCGGACCUUGCGCGAUUCAAUGAGCCGAUGUCGGAUUAGCUAGUUGGCGGGGUAAAGGCCCACCAAGGCGACGAUCCGUAGCUGGUCUGAGAGGAUGAUCAGCCACACUGGAACUGAGACACGGUCCAGACUCCUACGGGAGGCAGCAGUGGGGAAUAUUGGACAAUGGGCGCAAGCCUGAUCCAGCCAUACCGCGUGGGUGAAGAAGGCCUUCGGGUUGUAAAGCCCUUUUGUUGGGAAAGAAAAGCAGCAGGUUAAUACCCCGCUGUUCUGACGGUACCCAAAGAAUAAGCACCGGCUAACUUCGUG